GACGAACGCUGGCGGCGUGCUUAACACAUGCAAGUCGAACGGUAAGGCCCUUCGGGGUACACGAGUGGCGAACGGGUGAGUAACACGUGGGUGAUCUGCCCUGCACUUCGGGAUAAGCCUGGGAAACUGGGUCUAAUACCGGAUAGGACCACUGCCUGCAUGGGUGGUGGUGGAAAGCUUUUGCGGUGUGGGAUGGGCCCGCGGCCUAUCAGCUUGUUGGUGGGGUUAUGGACUACCAAGGCGACGACGGGUAGGCGGGCUGGGAGGGUGACCGGCCACACUGGGACUGAGAUACGGCCCAGACUCCUACGGGAGGCAGCAGUGGGGAAUAUUUCACAAUGGUCGCAAGCCUGAUGCAGCGACGCCGCGUGAGGGAUGACGGCCUUCGGGUUGUAAACCUCUUUCAGCACCGACGAAGCGCAAGUGACGGUAGGUGCAGAAGAAGGACCGGCCAACUACGUGCCAGCAGCCGCCGUAA
rnacentral:rRNA from 1 species